AUGUAUCUAAAAGUGAAUCUUGAUUUACUAUAAUUGUCUCAUAUAUUUUAUGUGUCUUUGGCUUGUUAGUCUGAUUGUUAACCUGUGUUUAUGAUGAUUAAUCUUAUAAGGACUUAUAAAUAAAUGAAUCUGAUGCUGGCAAAAAAGGGAUAUAGGGGAAGGAAGAAAAAAGAAUUGAGAUGUGUUAUGUACCUGUACCCAUUCUCCACAAUGAAUGUAAUCAUUACACACAAACAUAUACUAAAAACACUUUUUAAAUCCAGGCUGCCCCAGGUGGCAUUUCUAAUAGAACGCUCUGUAAAGCUGGGACCCCAUGUGCUGUGACACUGGGGGGACCUCUGUCUCAAAGAAAAACGGUGGGCAUGGAACUUGUAACCACCGUCUGAGCUGCAGAAUGUGGGGAAGCACAUCUAUCAUCUUUUUUCAAGGAACUAAACAGCGUACGUAUAAACCUGUAGUAAUUGGCUUCCUUUCAUACUUUCCCUCUCUGUCUCUGUCUCCCUUUCCCCUUUCUCCUCUUCCAGGGCAAAGAUGACCCCUACAUAAUGGUGAGGGAUUAAUUUACCCACAAGAUAAAACAUAUAUAUCUAAUAAUAUAUACAGAUCCUUGAGGAAACAUGGACAUUCGCCUUUAUACUGCAGACUUUAAUAUACUUGAAUAAUUUAUAUCACACACACAAAUCACUAAAGACAUACAUCUGAAUAACACAGCUUUUUAAUGAGCUUAGACAGACUGCAUCCAUGGUGAAGACCUACUGAUUUGAAGCACACGUGGACUAUUUAUGAAGUUUGUCAUGUAAUUGUCCAUGACCCAUUUGACACAUUUCAAAAGAUGGGCUUCAGAUAGGGAUGGAACAAGAGGAUUUCGGCUGUGAGAGUAACACUGGGCACCCAAAGGCCUUAAAAUCCAUGUGGUAGGGUGGGAAGUGGAGAGUGGAGUCGGUUGGGGGGGAGAUAAACUGCACAGGCAGGUCAGAGCCAGGAGCUGGGCCACAAGAAGCAGGGACUGUGGGGGAUCCAGGCUCUGAAGAAUGACACACUUGGGAGUGCCUGGUCCUGUGACAUAAGAGAUGUGUGACUGAAUUGCUCAGCUUUUUCUAUUCUCUCUCCAUUCAGAAGUGUGGACAGUGAUGCCUGGCCCCCAGACUUAUUCGAUAGGAACUAAGCAGCUAUCACAAAGUUUCCACCAUACAGCACAUUGGUGUAGGGCACCUUGGCUUCUGUAGUGAUGCUCAGGGCCCAUAGGGAAGGCUCUAGGAGCCACGCAGCACUAGGCAGGCAGAUGGGAGGAGUCUGGACCAAGCAGCACCUUUGCAGACCUUGACUGUGGGAGGCAGCCUCCCAUCUGCCUCCAUGUUGGGUCCUCAACUACUGGUAAUCACAUCCUGUGUAGUCCCUGCCACGUUAUGCUAGGGUCAGUCUGUGUGGCCAGGAGCGUACAGCAGAAGUGACAGUGUAGCACUUCCGGUGUCGGGGCAUAAAAGACCACAGCUCAAGUUGUAGUCUUAAUCAUUCAUUCCCCACCUCCUCCCUCCCUCCUUCCCUCCCUCCCUAUCCCAGACUGCCUUGCUCUGAGAGAAAGGAGCUGUUCUGUCAGGAAAACUCAGGAAGCCUGUGGGAAGACCCAGUGGUGAAGAACUGAAGUCUCCAGCCAGCAGUCAGCAAGAAGCUGGGGUCUGGCAACACCUGUGUGAAUGAGCUUGGAGAUGAGUGCCUUGGCCUGAACCAUGCAGUUUGGAUGGUGGAAUACAAGUCAGGUUUCCAGAGAAGAGCAGAAGUACUUGGGUCAGGAAACCGCUUCAGAAACUGAUUGGAGAAAACGUGAUGAAUGGUGAGUGGGCUGGUGCAAGAGGAUCCUGAAGGCAACCAAGAGGUCUUGCAGAAGCCGUCAGAACCGAAGUGGAGUCACCUGUGUCAAAUCCUAACAGAAAUAAAUAAAUAAAGCUAGGAGGUUAUGACCGAAGGGAAUCUCAUGCCUGUAGGCCUGCUAAUAAGAACUCUGACAAAAGACUUCCAGAACCACGGCCUUGUUUGCAGGCCACUUCAUAGUUCUUCAAGGACAUCUGCCCAGCACCUACUGUCCAACUAUAUUGGUCAGUGACUGCUAGAGAAGCAGAUUUCAUCCAAGAUCUACAAAUAUAUACAAAUUUACAAAAUUGGCUUACAAUGGCCAUCUGCAGAGUCGGGUGUGUAAGAGCGCAAAAGGGCUGUCCGUGCACUGGAGAUCUGAAGGAUCCAGGCAAAGGCCUGGAGGUCAGUGUGUGUCCUGUGCAAGUCCUUAUCAGGAGGCCACAGGGUCUGUGAUGGAGGCUGAAGAGUCUGCACUGGAAGCCAGGAGAUGAUGGCCAAGGUGAAGGUGAAGGUGAAGUGUAGGGCUCCCCUAGAAACAGCAGUAAGCCUUCCUGCUUCAUUUCCCUUUUACACCAUUUAGGCAAAGAGCCUUCCUAGGGUGGGGCUUCUGACUUCAGUAAAUCCCCGAAGCACGCCCAGAACUGUGCUGAUCUAAUUUAGAUGGGGGUUUCUUACUGAAGUUGACACUAUCGGUUAACUAUCACACCAGCCUCGUGCUGAUGCCACCCUUGUUAUUGAUCCUUGAAGUCAAUAAUUGUUUCGGGCCGGGGAUUUAGCUCAGUGGUUCUGCCGCCUGCUUCCCAAGCAUAAGGUCCCGAGUUUGAUCUCCAGUACCAAAAAAAAAAAAAGAAACAAUAAUUGUUUCAAAAAAUGUUAUAUAAUCCUUUUCAUUUUACCUUUAGAAGCUGUUGUCUUUCUUUGCCUGGUUGGAUACACUCACAUGUAUUCCCAUUGCAAUGUUCAUUCCAGAAUAAAUUCAUUAUCUUUGAAGAA